rnacentral:rRNA from 1 species
AUGACUAUUUUGUUACAAGUAACAGAACUAUAUAUAUAUAGAGGCCGAUCCUUUUUUCUGAACCGGUAUCGUUACUGUUUAGAAAACAAAACAAAAGGGACAUUAUCUCUCCCGUGUGGCCGCUCCACCGCCAACCUCCUCUCCCAUGGCUCCGGCCGCCGCCCCGCGCCCCACUUUCUCCCCUGGCUCCGGCCGCUGCUCCGCGCCCCCAUCUUCUUCCCUGGUUCUGGCCGCCGCCCCGUGCCUCACCUUCUCCCUGGCUUCGGCCGCCGCUCCGCGCCCUCCUUCUUCCCUGGCUCCGGCCGCCGCCCCGCGUCUCACCUUCUUCCUGGCUCCGGCCGUCGUCCCGCGCCUGACCUUGUCCCCUGGUUCCGGCCAGCGCCCCACNNNNNNNNNNNNNNNNNNNNNNNNNNNNNNNNNNNNNNNNNNNNNNNNNNNNNGGCAGCGGCCGCCGCCCCUCCCCCAUCCCCAGCGCGCCAAACCCCAGUUCUCCACCUACCCCAUCGUGACGCCGCCCAUUCUUCUUCCUCCUGACUUCUCCUAGCCAUGGCGAGCGCCUCCUCCCUGCUCCAAGCUCGCUCCAGACUACGCAGAGUCGCCAACCCCCGCCGCCUCGCGUGGAGUACAACCCCGCCCAUGUACGAGGUUCAAAGACCUUAUAUAGAGAAGGAAAGGAGAUGUUAACGUCGGCAUCUUCCUCGUCGCCAUCCCGUUUCGUGCACUGUCCGAUCAAUUCUACCGUAGCUCCGAACAACAGGAGUAAAAUAAAGCAAGUUCAAGUAAAAUCUCAAAUAAAAAUUCAGUUCAAGUUGAAGCCCAGGAGUAUACCCAUAUGGAUCAGACACGACAGUCGAUCUUGUUGAUGAUUCUCAAUAAAUAGAUGGUGAAGUUGGCAAACAGCUGAAUCAGAUGGUGCCUACCCCUAAAGAUUAACAGUUACAAGUAACUGCAUUUUGUCGAAAGUUCUUCGGUAUAGCCCCCUCUCCAUCAAAGUAGAAUAGAACCUGCUGUUUAAAUCCUCCUUUGGCUUGGCUGGAACAUGAGUUUCAGUAACUCUUGCACAAAUUAUGGGGAAUUCCACGUUCUGAAUUGGACUUUUGAACUAAACAGGAAAGUUAUCACGUACUGAUUCUAUUCAUCAAACAGUACAUCUCAUACAUAAUUUCAAGUGGGAAAUGAGACAUACUAGUUCCUUAUGAUGACAAUUUAGUACUGCACCAUAUUAUCAAUAAAGAUAUGGAACAGAUGUUUUCACCAUGUUUCAGCCCCAUAUACUUGUAAAGUUGUAAUCAACAGCUUACAACAUGGUGUAUUUCUUACCAAUUUCAUUUUAUCUACACAAUUUUCAGAAUGGCCUAACACAAAGUACUUACACAAACACAUAUGAGAUUGCCACGACAUGCCGGUGCACAAGACGCCGCAACCACGCCCCCCCACGCGCCGCCGUGACUACCGUCCUGCACUAGCCGCCAUGGCCACCAACCACAGUGGCGACUAGGGAUCGAGGCGUGGCCUGCUCAGGCGGGUGCUCGCACGCUGCAGUGUUGCUUCUCCGGCGAGGACGCCAUGCUGCACGGUGUGCCACACCACCGCAUCUCUGUUUUCUUCGUACAAACACAUUAUCACAGCGAGUAUGGAUGCGGCACCUUGGGGAAUAAUGCCUCCAAUGUGCAAGCCCAGGAUGACGACGCUGAUCACUAGCACGAAGGAUACCAAGCAGGCUAAGGAUGAAGUACACGAUGCAGGCAAGGAGGACAACCAAAACAUGCAAUCCGUACACAUAGCAGCAGCUGCAAGUUCGUCUGUCUAUGAUGAUAUGAUUGCAACUUCUUAAAAGAAGACUCUUGGACUUUCACAUGCUCUGCCUUCAUUCAUGUAGAUCUGCAAUCCUAUUGUUGGCUUAGUGAGAGACUCCAGUCUCACUAGUAGUUCCGCGUGGACUUCGAUGUUUAACUUGUUACCUCAUGUACGAUCUUGUGCCCUUGGCAUGGUCUUGUAGAUAGUCAGGCUUCUCAGCCUUUUUUAUUUGUAGUUGUCUGUACUCAGACAAGUUAAGCUUCCGCAUGUGC